CAAGUAGGGAAUCUUCGGCAAUGGGGGCAACCCUGACCGAGCAACGCCGCGUGAGUGAAGAAGGUUUUCGGACCGUAAAGCUCUGUUGUAAGAGAAGAACGUGUGUGAGAGUGGAAAGUUCACACAGUGACGGUAACUUACCAGAAAGGGACGGCUAACUACGUGCCAG
rnacentral:rRNA from 1 species